CUACGGGAGGCAGCAGUGGGGAAUAUUGCACAAUGGGGGAAAGCCUGAUGCAGCGACGCCGCGUGAGCGAAGAAGUAUUUCGGUAUGUAAAGCUCUUCAGCAGGGAAGAGAAUGACGGUACCUGACGAGAAGCUCUGGCGAAAUACGUGCGAGCCAG
rnacentral:rRNA from 1 species